rnacentral:rRNA from 1 species
GAACCGGGGGAACUGAAACAUCUAAGUACCCCGAGGAAAAGAAAUCAACCGAGAUUCCCCCAGUAGCGGCGAGCGAACGGGGAGGAGCCCAGAGUCUGAAUCAGUGUGUGUGUUAGUGGAAGCGUCUGGAAAGGCGCGCGAUACAGGGUGACAGCCCCGUACACAAAAAUGCACAUAUUGUGAGCUCGAUGAGUAGGGCGGGACACGUGGUAUCCUGUCUGAAUAUGGGGGGACCAUCCUCCAAGGCUAAAUACUCCUGACUGACCGAUAGUGAACCAGUACCGUGAGGGAAAGGCGAAAAGAACCCCGGCGAGGGGAGUGAAAAAGAACCUGAAACCGUGUACGUACAAGCAGUGGGAGCCUCUUAAUGGGGUGACUGCGUACCUUUUGUAUAAUGGGUCAGCGACUUAUAUUCUGUAGCAAGGUUAACCGAAUAGGGGAGCCGAAGGGAAACCGAGUCUUAACUGGGCGUUAAGUUGCAGGGUAUAGACCCGAAACCCGGUGAUCUAGCCAUGGGCAGGUUGAAGGUUGGGUAACACUAACUGGAGGACCGAACCGACUAAUGUUGAAAAAUUAGCGGAUGACUUGUGGCUGGGGGUGAAAGGCCAAUCAAACCGGGAGAUAGCUGGUUCUCCCCGAAAGCUAUUUAGGUAGCGCCUCGUGAAUUCAUCUCCGGGGGUAGAGCACUGUUUCGGCAAGGGGGUCAUCCCGACUUACCAACCCGAUGCAAACUGCGAAUACCGGAGAAUGUUAUCACGGGAGACACACGGCGGGUGCUAACGUCCGUCGUGAAGAGGGAAACAACCCAGACCGCCAGCUAAGGUCCCAAAGUCAUGGUUAAGUGGGAAACGAUGUGGGAAGGCCCAGACAGCCAGGAUGUUGGCUUAGAAGCAGCCAUCAUUUAAAGAAAGCGUAAUAGCUCACUGGUCGAGUCGGCCUGCGCGGAAGAUGUAACGGGGCUAAACCAUGCACCGAAGCUGCGGCAGCGACACUAUGUGUUGUUGGGUA